rnacentral:tRNA from 3 species
GCAAUAAUAGCUUAAAAUAAAGCAUUGGUCUUGUAAGCCAAAGAUAAAAAUUAAUUUUUUAUUGCU